rnacentral:misc_RNA from 1 species
CGCACCUUGCGCUCCUUGGUAUUCCGAGGAGCAUGCCUGUUUGAGUGUCAGUUUAUUAUCAACCCCACCAGCUUUUGUAGUUGGAUUUUGGUGGUUUGGAUAUGGAGGUUUUGCAGGCGCUUUCAAAGUGUCAGCUCCUCUAAAAUGCAUUAGCAGAACUGUUUGCAAUCUGUUAACUAGUGUGAUAAUUGUCUACGCUAGUGGAUUGCUCUCUGCAUGUUCAGCUUCUAAUUGUUUUCCACUGAGGAGACAACUUAUAUGAACCUUUGGCCUCAAAUCAGGUAGGACUACCCGCUGAACUUAA